GACGAACGCUGGCGGCGUGCUUAACACAUGCAAGUCGAACGGAAAGGCCCUGCUUUUGUGGGGUGCUCGAGUGGCGAACGGGUGAGUAACACGUGAGUAACCUGCCCUUGACUUUGGGAUAACUUCAGGAAACUGGGGCUAAUACCGGAUAGGAGCUCCUGCUGCAUGGUGGGGGUUGGAAAGUUUCGGCGGUUGGGGAUGGACUCGCGGCUUAUCAGCUUGUUGGUGGAGUAGUGGCUUACCAAGGCUUUGACGGGUAGCCGGCCUGAGAGGGUGACCGGCCACAUUGGGACUGAGAUACGGCCCAGACUCCUACGGGAGGCAGCAGUGGGGAAUAUUGCACAAUGGGCGGAAGCCAGAUGCAGCAACGCCGCGUGCGGGAUGACGGCCUUCGGGUUGUAAACCGCUUUCGCCUGUGACGAAGCGUGAGUGACGGUAAUGAGUAAAGAAGCACCGGCUAACUACGUG
rnacentral:rRNA from 1 species